rnacentral:rRNA from 1 species
UCCAGACUCCUACGGGAGGCAGCAGUGGGGAAUAUUGCACAAUGGGGGGAACCCUGAUGCAGCGACGCCGCGUGGGUGAAGGAGCACCUCGGUGCGUAAAGCCCUAUCGGCAGGGAAGAAAAGCGAACAGGUUCGCCUGGACGGUACCUGACUAAGAAGCCCCGGCUAACUACGUGCCAGCAGCCGCGGUAAUACGUAGGGGGCAAGCGGUAUCCGGAUUCACUGGGUGUAAAGGGAGCGUAGACGGCGACGCAAGUCUGGAGUGAAAGCCCGGGGCCCAACCCCGGGACUGCUCUGGAAACUGCGUCGCUGGAGUACGGGAGGGGCAGGCGGAAUUCCUGGUGUAGCGGUGAAAUGCGUAGAUAUUAGGAGGAACACCGGUGGCGAAGGCGGUCUGCUGGACAGCAACUGACGGUGAGGCGCGAAAGCGUGGGGAGCAAACAGGAUUAGAUACCCCCGUAUAC